rnacentral:rRNA from 1 species
UACGUAGGCAGCAAGCGUUGUUCGGAGUUACUGGGCGUAAAGGGUGUGUAGGCGGUUGGAUAAGUGUGGUGUGAAAUCUCCCCGGCUCAACUGGGAGGGUGCGCUACAAACUGUCUGACUAGAGUGCGGGAUGGGAAAGUGGAAUUCCUGGUGUAGCGGUGAAAUGCGUAGAUAUCAGGAGGAACACCGGUGGUGUAGACGGCUUUCUGGACCGUAACUGACGCUGAGACACGAAAGCGUGGGUAGCAAACAGG